UUCGAUAAUCCAUUGACUGAGAAGCUGAAAGAGAGAAAGAGAGAGAGAGAGUGGAUUGUUCGGGGAAGCCUAAGAGGAAAAAGAAAAAGAAGGGGGAGAAAAAUCCUCAAGGUAAAAAAUUUCAACAUGGUUAGAAGGAAAGAUUCAUUUUGGGAGUAUGCAAAGGAUUUAGAAAAUGGUCAUUUUUCUUGUAAUUUUUGUAAACAAGAUUUUGCGGGGGGAAUUUCAAGAAUUAAAUCACAUUUGUCUGGAGUUAGAGGCCGUGAUA